rnacentral:rRNA from 1 species
GGUUGCGAUCAUACCAGCACUAAUGCACCGGAUCCCAUCAGAACUCCGCAGUUAAGCGUGCUUGGGCUAGAGUAGUACUAGGAUGGGUGACCCCCUGGGAAGUCCUCGUGUUGCAACCC